CGGCGUGCCUAACACAUGCAAGUCGAACGAAGCAUUUCCUCGGAUUUCCUUCGGGGAUGAAGGGUUUAUGACUGAGUGGCGGACGGGUGAGUAACGCGUGGGCAACCUGCCCCGUACCGGGGGACAACAGCCGGAAACGGCUGCUAAUACCGUAUACGUUUUAAGGACCGCAUGGUCCGUAAAACAAAACUCCGGUGGUACGGGAUGGGCCCGCGUCUGAUUAUCUCGUUGGCGGGGUAACGGCCCACCAAGGCGACUAUCAGUAGCCGGCCUGAGAGGGCGGCCGGCCACAUUGGGACUGAAACACGGCCCAGACUCCUGCGGGAGGCAGCAGUGGGGAAUAUUGCACAGUGGGGGAAACCCUGCUGCAGCGACGCCGCGUGAGCGAGGAAGUACCUCGGUAUGUAAAGCUCUGUCAGCAGGGAAGAAAAUGACAGUACCUGACCAAGAAGCCCCGGCUAACUACGUGCCAGCAGCCGCGGUAAUACGUAGGGGGCAAGCGUUAUCCGGAUUCACUGGGUGUAAAGGGAGCGCAGGCGGCACGGCAAGUCUGAUGUGAAAACCCGGGGCUCAACCCCGGGACUGCAUUGGAAACUGCCGGGUUGGAGUGUCGGAGGGGUAAGCGGAAUUCUUGGUGUAGCGGUGAAAUGCGUAGAUAUCAGGAGGAACACCGGUGGCGAAGGCGGCUUGCUGGACGACAACUGACGUUGAGGCUGGAAAGCGUGGGGAGCAAACAGG
rnacentral:rRNA from 1 species